GGGCACGGUGCAGCGCCGCCUCCCGUUCGCCUCUGCGCCUGGCCCGGCGACUGCGGGCGCUGCGGUCCACUGGGUCCGCCUCUUCCCGGCAUGGGUUUCUGCCCAGCUCACCCGCUGUCAGCUGGGGUCCUGCUCUGGUGGGAGGAAGAGGCUCAGACGCUUCCCUGCCCUCUCGCCUCAACCACCUCGAGGCAGCGGCUCCCAGGAUGUGCACUUUGACGACUAAAGCUGAGCCGGCGCCGCCACGACCUUGGGCGGGUGGUCGGCCUCUGCCCUGAGCAGGAAGUAGAAAGUCUCAGCAGACCCUUCCUGAGGGCCGAGCAACAGUGUAGUGGCGUAUUCCACAUAGCAAACAGGGUGAAAAUGGAAAUUCACCUGUGGAACUCACUGGCCAUUGUGGAAGAAACAUUUUCUGAAGCUCAGAGGGACACCUUGUAUUGCUGGAUGAUAAAAACAGGAGCAAAGUGAUGAAGUGCUGACAAGGCAACAAUAGAACAUGAGAGAUUCACUGCUGUGUAGGAAGAGAUCUUCGGUGACCAUGUAGCCUGAAGCUCUCAUUUUGUCAUCGAGGGACACCAAAACUCAGAACAGAUAGAGUCUUGCUCUGUGACCCAGGCUUGUGUGCAGCGGUACGAUAUUGGCUCACUGCGACCUCCACCUCCCAGGUUCAAGCAAUUCUCCUGCCUCAGCCUCCCAAGUAGCUGGGAUUACAGAUGAGGUCUCCAAGGGACCAGAUGGAGAACAGAUGCAACCACACUGAAGUCAGAAUCGCAGCUUGCCUCCGACACCUGACGCUUCACUGUUGGCGAGGCCCACUAUGCCUCGCUCUCCCCCUGUAAUGAGUUCUAUCCCAGAGGCUCCUAUACCCUUUAGAAAUAAACUGCUCAGGCAGCCCAACCAGUUCAUCCAAGAGGCCUGGAACCACAGCAGCGUCGACAGCUGAGAUGAGAGUUGGUCCCUGAUCUGAUACAGAGCCUGGGUUUAGCUUUGAUUUCUCUCUUCCUAGGCAAGAUCUUUAGAGAAUAACUUUUUGUGCCUGGCCAUCUCCUGCUCUUUUCUCAACCCAAAAGGGCUAUGUUCACCUAAAGAGGAAAAGCAAGAAGGCUUCCUGGGCUCGGGAGGUCAGGGCUGGAAAGAACUGCUCACCAUUUCUGAGCCGAUGAGGACUCACCUGGGCUCCUCACUGGUCAGGGAACUGUGGCCCAGCCGCAGAGUGAUUGCUUUGUCAAGAAGGGAAACAUUUACCUUUCCUUCUUCCCUCUGCUCUCUCCUAAUUAACAAUUAAAUGGAAGGAGUUGAAAAGACAUGUCAGAGACUUCAAUCUCCUCCCGGCCUGAGGAUGAAGGGGGCUCGAACCUGAAUGUUCUCUUCGCUGUGGCCAGAACCUAGGGGGCUGGGGUUGCUGCCAGCUCGACUGGAGGCCUGCUUCCAGCCCCAGGCUGUGGUGAGGGGCCUCACAGAUUUCACAAACAGGAGGGCGGCUGACCAAGCGCCAAACUAUUUAGACAAACACACACCCUCCCUUCCCGCCAGAGUUUGGGCUGAUUUCUCCCAAUGCUAAUGAACAGCUCAUAAGUAUUAAUAGACUCCUUGGCACCUAGGAGUCAGGCAGAGUAACUUCCAGUGUGAAUUUUGGCCAAGGACCCUGAUGCAGCCUCAGGAUCUUCCAAGCCCCUGUUGAGUCCAGGGGGCAUGAGACACACAGGGAGGCUGGGGCUGCUCCCAGGAAGCAGGCUCACAAGAGCCAGACAGGCUCCCACAGACAGCUUUUAGGUCACAGAAACCUCUGCCUGCCAGGUAGGCAUGAACACAGAAACCCUCCCAAAUCCUCAGACUGUGGAGCACACUCCAGGUGAGCCAGGAUCAAUCCCUGGUCUCAGAGAACACUUAGAUGGGGGUGAAAAGCAGGAACUGAGAGCUUCCCACCCAGCACCUGUCCCUGCUACCAGCUAAACCUGUGUCGGUCAGUGCAGGAAUUGUACAGGUGAUGCUCUGAGCCUGUGCUGAGGCCAUGUAUGGACUGAGGAAACCUCACUGUGUGUAUGUAAAGUUAAUUCAAACCUAUUUCCCUGAGUGCUUACAUAUUUUCAUAAGGAAAGUUCUGUUAGGAGAGCUGCCUGAAACAACACCUCUGCCUGUGCUCCCACUUUCUCCCGCUGGUGUGGGGAGGAGAGGCUGACAUCGCUGGGUCCACGUUCCUCUGCCCUGGGUGGGGUAUUAAUGCUGCCAUUCCCACGCUGCCUGCUGUUUCCCCUCAUCCUCAGGAGGGCUGGUCUCUGUGCUGCAGGCAGCUCCACCAGGCCUGGGAGCAUGACACCGUCUGCCAAUGCCUUGCCCAGGUCCACUGGCCUCACCCUUCCGCAGGCCUGCGCCUUCUGUGACUCUCUGCCUCAGCAAUUUCUCUGGAUUUCUUUGUCCUCAGGAAUGUGCUGGGGCCACAGGCAGGUCAGGCCAGGCUUUCUGGGGAGUGAAUGCUCUCUGCCAGUGGCGGAUGGAACUGGUAGACACGUCCCCCGGAUUCCUCGCCUGCAAGUGGGAUGGUGCCAGGAAAGUUCUACACCAUCCUUCCCAGGUCCCAGGAGGACAAGCACAGUUGUCCACAAGUGUGGAUCAGUGUUAAAAGUGCUUCAUGGAGAAAUGGAGGCCUGAAAGCGACUCUGAAGGAGGAGUGGGGCUCAGCAAACAGCAGACGAGUUUCAAUCCAAGCACCCAUUACCCCCCUAACACACGGCAUACGUGCAUCUCAUCUCCUCCUGUGUCGCUAAGAAGCUACCCAUAUGUCUGUCAUUAAUUCUCCAGAAUCCUUGGACACACCCCUCUGCAGAGCUUUCUAACAGGAAAUACAAGUCUCAGAUUUUUUUUUAAGUUAAAAUUGAGUGCAGCACUCAUACCUUUCUUCGAGCAUGAACCGUCAAUCAACACUGCCUCAUGAGCUACUGCUCUCCUGCUCUUUGAAAAGACAAAUCCUUAUUUCUUUGUAGUGAUCCAGAAGGCAGUGGGAAGAAUGACAGGUGCUUGGUUAUCUUCAAUUUAAUCUCUACCUUUCAAUGGGGCUAGUGCAAGCUAGGGCCAUUUUACUGCACCCAAAGGAAUUUAAGACAUUUCUAUUAUCUCUAAAGAAUCCAGAUUAACAUGCCUUCUUGGUGGGCAGGGAGACCAGCUAUGAAUUCUAGGAUCUCAAUUCAAAUGCUUUUGAAUUCUUCCUGCUUGUUCAGUUAAUUACAUAUAUGUCACCACAAUCUUGCUUUUUUUUUUCUAUGCUUCUAAUUUUCUCUGAAACUAUAACAUUAUUUUAGGGGUUAAUAAAUUUGUAAUUGGAAAAA
ensembl:lncRNA SLC44A3-AS1 SLC44A3 antisense RNA 1